GGCGACGUAGCUCAGUUGGUUAGAGCAUGGGAUUCAUAAGCCCAGGGUCGGCGGUUCGAAUCCACCCGUCGCCA
rfam:Planctomycetes bacterium GWF2_41_51 gwf2_scaffold_1552, whole genome shotgun sequence.